CCGACCUUAGCUCAGUUAGUAGAGCGGAGGACUGUAGUUUGAUUAAUCUAAAUUGGAAAUCCUUAGGUCGCUGGUUCGAAUCCGGCAGGUCGGA
rfam:Ipomoea nil DNA, scaffold: scaffold3056, cultivar: Tokyo-kokei standard.